rnacentral:sRNA from 1 species
GGGUGCACUGAUGUCCAGUAGGAAUCACAGGCUGCUUCAAAGCACAGAGAAGUAAAGGAUUACUAAGGGCUCCCCCAAAGAAUACUCCAGCUUUCGGGAAUGGAUAUACUUUGGUGAAGGAAAAUGUGUCAAACGGCCUGCUGGAUGUCACUGGCUGGUUCAUGUUUGAGGGAGCAAGGUGAAUUAUAUCAUCUUUCAGAGAACCCAGGUACUUCUGGGAGGGACCACAGGAGAACUGUGCUAUGUGCUCAGAUGAGUCAAGUCCAAAUGCAGGGAUCUAUCAGGUCUGUACUUCCUUCUGCCUGGCUUUCCACCAGCAUUUGCAUUGAAUGCUGACAUUUCUGGGUUGCCCUAGAUCCGUGCAUCCAGCCUGAUCCCAGCCCUGCUGCUCUUGAAUGGGAAGCCCCAUAUGCACAUACCUGUCUG